rnacentral:sRNA from 1 species
CUACAUCCUGAAUAUUCACGUUUUCUCACCUACAGAUAUUUGUCUUCCCCAAAACCAAAAGAAAAAAACUACCCUUUACUCUCUUUUCUACUCAGUUACUCUUUUGUGCUAUGUUAGAAACUUGAAAUAUAUUGGUGAUGUGGGGAUUUUGUCCCCGACUGCCCACUGUACAGGACAAGAGAGCACAGUGUUUCAGUUGGAAUUCAGGACUCCUGGUUUUGAGGUAGAGGAUGAUCACUGCAGUACUUGGUUUGGAAUUGCCACAGGGGUAGCUAAACCAAAGGAGGGUUAUAUCUGCAAGGGAGGUGUAAGAAGGCAAAAUAAGGAAAAGGAGGAAUGGGUUUUCUAUUUGUUCAGUUUCAUCAACUAAUUUAUACACCUAAUACAACGUCAGUGUCAAUUGCUAUUAAGAAAUUUUUAGUUGGGCUGAGCUGGUUCUCUUGUGAAAUUGUGCUGGUUAUCUUUAAGCUUAUCAGUUAUUUGUCCAAUUAAACACUUUUCACCAGUAUUUAGUCCAAGUUGUACAGACGAUGUAUUUGGAUUUUGUCAUGGUUCAUCUACAGACUCAAAACAUAAUCAUUUUAAAGUACCUUGGGAGUGUGUAGAGUAACUUCUAUAAUAGCUUUAUGAUCCUGAUGAUGAUUUUUAAACACAAUAAAGUUGGAUCUUCCAUGUUACAAUCACAGAAUUAAAACCAGUAUUUAAAGUGGAAAAGUAUUAAAAUAUUAUGGACAAAUAUGCUGGCUUGAUUUGUUUUCCUUAACCCUGAGAUAUUGCCCUACUCUGAGUAGUUAAGAGCUUGAAAUUCAGUGUUCUUCCCGUAACCCAGUUAGGGAUCAAGAAAACUACUGAGUUGCAGCCUAAAUUUUUUUUUUUUUUUUCUUUUUUUUGGAGACAGAGUCUUGCUCUGUCACCCAGGCUGGAGUGCAGUGGCGGUAUCUUGGCUCACUGCAACCUCCAUCUUCCAGGUUCAAGCAAUUCUUGUGCCUCAGCCUCCUGAGUGGCUGGGAUUACAGGCGUGAGGCACUAUGCCCGGCUAAUUUUUAUAUUUUUAGUAGAGACAGGGUUUCGCCAUGUUGGCCAGGUUGGUCUCAAACUCCUGACCUCAGAUGAUCCACCCACCUGGGCCUCCCAGAGUGCUGGGAUUACAGGCCUGAGCCAUCGCGCCCAGCUCAAUUUUUUUUUUUAACAAAAUACAACAGGAUGGAAUAUAUCAAGUACAUGACAUGUAAUAAAUAUUUUGUGUAUCUUUUGUCAUAUGUAUUAUACAUAUGUGUGUAGUGGGUUACAGUUUACAAUUAAUUUCUUACUAUGGAUCACAUCCAGAAGUUUUAAAAGAUGGGUAGAGAAGCCAUACUCACUUGGGUGUUUCAGAAAUGGAAGCACAGUGCUGGUGAAUGAUACACACUUAUUUUGUAAUUGAGCUGUAUGCACUUAACCAUAAAUAAAUAAUCUCAUUUAUUUAAAUCUCAUUUAAUCUCAGCUCCACUUGUUGCACUCAGUCAGUGGAUUCGUAUUGAAAGGCACUGAGCAUAUUUCUUUCCUAGUGUUCAAAGAUACAUGCUAUCCAAACAAUGUGAUCUGUAAACAAAAGCCAACUACUUAAUCUGGUGGGAUGCUGGAGGGAAAAUCUGACUUGUGUUGAAUUUGUUGACAGAGAAAUAUUAUGUGGUCCUCAUUCCUAGAGGGAUUUUCUAGGGCAGUUUUAACUGUGCAGUUUUUCUUUAGACUUGACUUUGGCAUAUAACCUGCAAAUAAGGUGUAGUUCUAACUAGCAAUUUCAAAUGGGGUUGCUUUUAUAGGAUCUUCCAGAUUUUCUUGCCAUUACUUGAAUUUGGUUACAACAGAGUUCAUACUAUCAUUUAUAUUGUCUACCUUUUAAGACACAUUUUCUGUGAACCUUCCACAUCUGUAUACUUUGAAUAGCCUUGCACAAAUAUCAUAAGUGAAGCUACUUUAUUGGGCCUCUUCAUUCUCUCUUUCUAUAGAAUUCUGUGAGGUUAGUACUAGAACAAAUCUUUAAGAUCUCUGAAGUUAUUAGAAGAUGCCAAACCAGGAUUUUCCUGUCACCCAGGCUCUGUGGUUUAUGAGGUGGUGGCUAUCUCCACCGUGUCUGUACCAGGCACUAUGCUUUUUCUGACUCCUCCCCACUCAACAGUCCUGUGAGGUGGUAGCGGUGAUUGGUGGUACCACCCCUGUUUUACAGAUAAGGGAACAGGUUGGGGUUCCAAACCUACUGAUUCCCUGACUCAAGUUUGUUUUUUUCCCAUUAGACUCUACUUUGUAAUGCCUGUGUGUAAUAUCUAGAAUAUAGUGUUUGAUGGACUAGAAAGAGCCAACAUGCUUAAAGACUAGCAAUUUUGGUGUAUAGGUCUUAGUCCCACACUUCAGUAUUGGCUUCACAAAAUUCCAACACAUGGUUCCUUAACAAUGGUUCGAUUUAUGAUUGUUCGACUUUAUGCAAAGCACUACAAAUACAGUACACUCCAGCUUACCAUGGGGCUGCGUUCCGAUAAACCAGUCAUAUAUGGAAAAUACCGUAAGUCAAAAGUACAUUUUCAGCCAGGGGCAGCAGCUCACACCUGUAAUCCCAGCACUUUGGAAGACCGAGGCGGGUGGAUCGCCUGAGGUCAGGAGUUGAAGACCAGCCUGUCUAACAUGGUGAAACCCCUUGUCUCUACUAAAAAUAAAAAAGUUAGCUGGGUGUGGUGGCACACACCUGUAAUCCCCAGCUACUCAGGAGGCUGAGUCAGGAGAAUUGCUUGAUCUCGGGAGGUGGAAGUUGCAGUGAGCUGAGAUUGCACCACUGCACUCCAGCCUGGGUGACACAGCAAGACUGUCCCAAAAAAAAAAAAAAGGUUUUCAACUUAGUUAUUUUCAACUUGCAGUGGGCUUAUCAGCACAUAGCCACAUCAUAAGUCGAGAUGCUUCUGUCGAAAGUACGUUAUUGUUUUAUUUUCAACUUAGACAGUGGGGCUUAUCAGUAUGUAGCCCCAUCAUAAGUCAAGGGGCUUUUGUAACAAUGUGUCUUAUAAAAUCCCACCAGAUACAGAAAGGAGGUCAGUAAAGAUGAAACUCGAUCACAAUUAGGUGCUUAAACUUUCUUCCUGUCCUCCAGCUCAGAGGAUGAAACAGGAAACUGAGUCAUAAAACACUACUACAAACAAGCCCAAGGAUUUUAUCCCAGAUUUUCAACCCAAGGAUGAGCUGCAAUAUAACUAUCACUGUUUUGGCUGCCUGCCACAGAAUGACCACUGAGGAAAUAAAGCAAGCUUUGGAUUCACUGC